UACGGAGGACCCAAGCGUUAUCCGGAUUCAUUGGGUUUAAAGGGUGCGUAGGCGGGUUGAUAAGUCAGUGGUGAAAGCCCAAUGCUUAACGUUGGAACUGCCAUUGAUACUGUCGAUCUUGAAUGUGUUUGAUGUGGGCGGAAUAUGACAUGUAGCGGUGAAAUGCUUAGAUAUGUCAUAGAACACCGAUUGCGAAGGCAGCUCACAAAGCCACUAUUGACGCUGAGGCACGAAAGCGUGGGGAUCAAACAGG
rnacentral:rRNA from 1 species